GACGGAGGGUGCUAGCGUUGUUCGGAAUCACUGGGCGUAAAGGGCGCGUAGGCGGCUUCAGGUGUCGGAUGUGAAAGCCCGGGGCUCAACCCCGGAGGUGCAUCCGAAACUCUGGAGCUGGAGGCCGGAAGAGGAGGGUGGAAUACCCAGUGUAGAGGUGAAAUUCGUAGAUAUUGGGUGGAAACACCGUGGCGAAAGCGGCUCUCUGGUCCGGUUCUGACGCUGAGGCGCGAAAGCGUGGGGAGCAAACAGG
rnacentral:rRNA from 1 species